CCUACGGGUGGCUGCAGUGGGGAAUAUUGGGCAAUGGGCGCAAGCCUGACCCAGCAACGCCGCGUGAAGGAAGAAGGCUUUCGGGUUGUAAACUUCUUUUCUCAGGGACGAAGCAAGUGACGGUACCUGAGGAAUAAGCCACGGCUAACUACGUGCCAGCAGCCGCGGUAAUACGUAGGUGGCAAGCGUUAUCCGGAUUUACUGGGUGUAAAGGGCGUGUAGGCGGGACUGCAAGUCAGAUGUGAAAACCACGGGCUCAACCUGUGGCCUGCAUUUGAAACUGUAGUUCUUGAGUACUGGAGAGGCAGACGGAAUUCCUAGUGUAGCGGUGAAAUGCGUAGAUAUUAGGAAGAACACCAGUGGCGAAGGCGGAUUACUGGACGAUAACUGACGGUGAGGCGCGAAAGCGUGGGGAGCAAACAGGAUUAGAUACCCGUGUAGUC
rnacentral:rRNA from 1 species